rnacentral:misc_RNA from 1 species
AGCUUGUGUGUGUGUGUGUGUGGAUGGAUGGAGGUCACUAAGUACACUAAAAUAAAUUAUGUAGCCAAAUUAAGGACGGUAUACUAAAUUCACUUCCUAAUCAAAUUAUGGCGCUUACAUUGUGCAUGCCAGUUAAAUGGUGGAAAUGUAGCUAUUGUGUAAAUGUUGUAUAAUUGCUUUUUUAAAUCAAAUAUGGAAUGUUGGAGUUUCUAUUGAUACUUGAGGAUUUCUUUACCA